rnacentral:rRNA from 1 species
GGGGACGCUGAGACAGGUGGUGCAUGGCUGUCGUCAGCUCGUGUCGUGAGAUGUUGGGUUAAGUCCCGCAACGAGCGCAACCCUUGUCGUUAGUUGCCAUCAUUAAGUUGGGCACUCUAAUGAGACUGCCGGUGACAAACCGGAGGAAGGUGGGGAUGACGUCAAGUCAUCAUGCCCCUUAUGACCUGGGCUACACACGUGCUACAAUGGACGGUACAACGAGAAGCGAACCUGCGAAGGCAAGCGGAUCUCUUAAAGCCGUUCUCAGUUCGGACUGUAGGCUGCAACUCGCCUACACGAAGCUGGAAUCGCUAGUAAUCGCGGAUCAGCACGCCGCGGUGAAUACGUUCCCGGGCCUUGUACACACCGCCCGUCACACCAUGAGAGUCUGUAACACCCAAAGCCGGUGGGAUAACCUUUAUAGGAGUCAGCCGUCUAAGGUAGGACAGAUGAUUAGGGUGAAGUCGUAACAAGG